GACGAACGCUGGCGGCGUGCCUAAUACAUGCAAGUCGAGCGAGACUCUUCGGAGUCUAGCGGCGGACGGGUGAGUAACACGUGGGCAACCUGUCUGUAAGACUGGGAUAACACCGGGAAACCGGUGCUAAUACCGGAUAAUCCUUUUUCUCUCAUGAGGAAAAGCUGAAAGUCGGUUUCGGCUGACACUUACAGAUGGGCCCGCGGCGCAUUAGCUAGUUGGUGAGGUAACGGCUCACCAAGGCGACGAUGCGUAGCCGACCGGAGAGGGUGAUCGGCCACACUGGGACUGAGACACGGCCCAGACUCCUACGGGAGGCAGCAGUAGGGAAUCUUCCACAAUGGACGAAAGUCUGAUGGAGCAACGCCGCGUGAGCGAUGAAGGCCUUCGGGUCGUAAAGCUCUGUUGUUAGGGAAGAACAAGUAUCGGAGUAACUGCCGGUACCUUGACGGUACCUAACCAGAAAGCCACGGCUAACUACGUGCCAGCAGCCGCCGUAACAC
rnacentral:rRNA from 1 species